rnacentral:rRNA from 1 species
UACGUAGGGGGCUAGCGUUGUCCGGAUUUAUUGGGCGUAAAGAGCGCGUAGGUGGCCGAGUAAGUCCGACGUGAAAUCUGGAGGCUCAACCUCCAGCGGUCGUUGGAAACUACUCGGCUAGAGACCGGAAGAGGAGAGUGGAAUUCCUGGUGUAGCGGUGAAAUGCGCAGAUAUCAGGAAGAACACCGAUGGCGAAAGCAGCUCUCUGGGACGGUACUGACGCUGAGGCGCGAAAGCGUGGGGAGCGAACAGG